UACGAAGGGGGCUAGCGUUGUUCGGAAUUACUGGACGUAAAGCGCGCGCAGGCGGCCUUUCAAGUCAGGGGUGAAAGCCCGGAGCUCAACUCCGGAAUUGCCUUUGAAACUGUCAGGCUCGAGUACGGGAGAGGUGAGUGGAAUUCCCAGUGUAGAGGUGAAAUUCGUAGAUAUUGGGAAGAACACCGGUGGCGAAGGCGGCUCACUGGCCCGUUUCUGACGCUCAGGCGCGACAGCGUGGGGAUCAAACAGG
rnacentral:rRNA from 1 species